UACGUAGGGUCCGAGCGUUGUCCGGAAUUACUGGGCGUAAAGAGCUCGUAGGCGGUCUGUCGCGUCUGCCGUGAAAACCCGAGGCUUAACCUCGGGCUGGCGGUGGAUACGGGCAGACUAGAGGUAGGUAGGGGAGAAUGGAAUUCCCGGUGUAGCGGUGAAAUGCGCAGAUAUCAGGAGGAACACCAAUGGCGAAGGCAGCUCGCUGGGACGGUACUGACACUGAGACGCGAAAGCGUGGGGAGCAAACAGG
rnacentral:rRNA from 1 species